rnacentral:rRNA from 1 species
UAGGGAAUCUUCGGCAAUGGACGAAAGUCUGACCGAGCAACGCCGCGUGCGUGAAGAAGGUUUUCGGAUCGUAAAACUCUGUUGUUAGAUAAGAACAAGGACGUUAGUAACUGAACGUCCCCUGACGGUAUCUAACCAGAAAGCCACGGCUAACUACGUGCCAGCAGCCGCGGUAAUACGUAGGUGGCAAGCGUUGUCCGGAUUUAUUGGGCGUAAAGCGAGCGCAGGCGGUUUCUUAAGUCUGAUGUGAAAGCCCCCGGCUCAACCGGGGAGGGUCAUUGGAAACUGGGGGACUUGAGUGAAGAAGAGGAGAGUGGAAUUCCAUGUGGAGCGGUGAAAUGCGUAGAUAGAUGGAGGAACACCAGUGGCGAAGGCGGCUCGCUGGUCUGUAACUGACGCUGAGGCUCGAAAGGGUGGGGAGCAAACAGG